GACGAACGCUGGCGGCGUGCCUAAUACAUGCAAGUCGAGCGGAUGACGGAGGAGCUUGCUCCUCCUGAUUCAGCGGCGGACGGGUGAGUAACACGUGGGCAACCUGCCCUGUAGAUUGGGAUAACUCCGGGAAACCGGGGCUAAUACCGAAUAAUCCUUCGGACCUCAUGGUCCGAUGUUGAAAGACGGCAUCUCGCUGUCACUACAGUAUGGGCCCGCGGCGCAUUAGCUAGUUGGUGGGGUAACGGCUCACCAAGGCGACGAUGCGUAGCCGACCUGAGAGGGUGAUCGGCCACACUGGGACUGAGACACGGCCCAGACUCCUACGGGAGGCAGCAGUAGGGAAUCUUCCACAAUGGACGAAAGUCUGAUGGAGCAACGCCGCGUGAGUGAAGAAGGUUCUCGGAUCGUAAAACUCUGUUGUGAGGGAAGAACAAGUACCGGAGUAACUGCCGGUGCCUUGACGGUACCUCAUUAGAAAGCCACGGCUAACUACGUGCCAGCCGCCGCCGUAACAC
rnacentral:rRNA from 1 species